ensembl:misc_RNA 7SK 7SK RNA
GGCUGAGUAGUAUUCCAUUUUAUAGAAAAAUCAUCUGUCACCCUAUUGAUCACCAGGGUUGAUUCGGCUGAUCUGGCUGGCUAGGCGGGUGUCCCCUUCUUCCCUCACCACUCCAUGUGCAUCCCUCCCAAAGCUGCGUGCUCGGUUGAAGAGGUCGACCACCCCCAAUAGAGGAGGACCGUUUCCUCGGUAAAGGGUAUACGAGUAGCUGCACUCCCCUGCUAGACCCUCCAAACAAGUUCCUAUUUUUAGUGAGAAGGUUUUCAAUUUUUGACCAUUUAGUAUGAUGUUGCCUGUUGGUUUUUCACAGAUAGCCUUUAUCAGGUUGAGAUAAAAACCAUGUAUUCCAAUUUUCUCU